UGCUUGCAAGGACAGAGUGACAGGUGCUGCAUGGCUGUCGUCAGCUCGUGUCGUGAGAUGUUGGGUUAAGUCCCGCAACGAGCGCAACCCUUGUCUUUAGUUGCCAGUAUUAGGUUAGGAACUCUAAAGAUACUGCCUCGGUUAACGAGGAGGAAGGUGGGGACGACGUCAAGUCCUCAUGGCCUUUAUGUCCAGGGCUACACACGUGCUACAAUGGGCUGUACAAAGGGUCGCAAUACCGCGAGGAGGCGCUAAUCCCAAAAAGCAGCUCUCAGUUCGGAUUGGAGUCUGCAACUCGACUCCAUGAAGGUGGAAUCGCUAGUAAUCGUGGAUCAGCAUGCCACGGUGAAUACGUUCCCGGGCCUUGUACACACCGCCCGUCACACCACGAAAGUUGGCUGUACCAGAAGUUGCUGGGCUAACCCCAUUAGGGGAGGCAGGUACCUAAGGUACGGCUGAUAAUUGGGGUGAAGUCGUAACAAGGUAA
rnacentral:rRNA from 1 species